UAGACAUGUUAUUGUAUUCGACUGUAUUCACGAUAUGUAUUUGUUAAUACAGUAACGUAAAUAGCGCAAUUCAUGGCAUGGUCAGCUGUUUUUAAAUAGAAAGUGAAUCAAUUAACAUAAUAGACUCCU
rfam:Nicotiana attenuata strain TT chromosome 4, whole genome shotgun sequence.